UAUGGUAUGUACUGGCUUUACUGAUUCCUCCUUCUUGAAGAACUGUAAUGUCAUUAAUUUGGUGUUGCAGGGAAACAGGACUGUUACUUUGAAAAAAUUAGAGUGUUUAAAGCAGGCUAACGCUUGAAUACAUUAGCAUGGAAUAAUUAAAUAGGACGUUUGAUCCUAUUUUGUUGGUUUCUAGGAUUGACGUAAUGAUUAAUAGGGAUAGUUGGGGGCAUUAGUAUUCAAUUGUCAGAGGUGAAAUUCUUGGAUUUAUUGAAGACUGACUACUGCGAAAGCAUUUGCCAAGGAUGUUUUCAUUAAUCAAGAACGAAAGUUAGGGGAUCGAAGACGAUCAGAUACCGUCGUAGUCUUAACCAUAAACUAUGCCGACUAGGGAUCGGAUGAUGUUAAUUUUUUAAUGACUCAUUCGGCGCCUUACG
rnacentral:rRNA from 1 species